CCCGGUGCCUCAGCUGCCCAGUGCCCACGGUAAAAGUCUAUUGCACUGAGCAGUGGCAAACAGCAAAUGAGAUUACCAAAGAUUUGAACAACUGUUAAUUUAGAAAAAGUGCUGUCGUUGUAAUAACAACUUCUAAGAGACCGGCGGCCCUUUUCAGCCCGUUCGUAAGAAGGCAACAAGUUCUUCUCCUCUACAGAAGGAUUUUGCAAACAAUUCGGCAAGUUCCAAAUGAUUCUGAUCGCAAAUACCUGAAAGAUUGGGCAAGAGAAGAAUUCAAAAGAAACAAAAGUGCCACCGAAGAGGAUACAAUCCGGAUGAUGAUUACUCAAGGCAAUAUGCAGCUCAAGGAGUUAGAAAAAACACUUGCUUUAGCAAAAUCUUAACUAUAGCAUUAUUCUGAAGGAUUUUCAAAGUCUCCAUGUGUUUUGUUGCAUUUAGGAUUAACAAUGGACAGCACAAAGCCCAGUCUUACUAUUUAUAUGUACAGUAUUUGGUGAUAGAGAGCAAAGGAAAAACACAUCAGAACAGUUGCCUUAACUGAAAAACAUACCCUGCAUUUUGAAAAUGUUUAUGGAUGUCUCAGCAGUUUUUAAAAGAAGAAAAAAA
rnacentral:sRNA from 1 species